rnacentral:rRNA from 1 species
AACGAACGCUGGCGGCGUGCUUAACACAUGCAAGUCGAACGAGAAAGCCCGCAAGGGUGAGUAGAGUGGCGCACGGGUGAGUAAUAGAUAGGAACGUACCAAACAGAGGGGGAUAACUGCGGGAAACUGCAGCUAAUACCGCGUACGACGAAAGUUAAAGAGGGCCUAUGCUUGCAUGCUCUCGCUGUUUGAUCGGCCUAUCUCCCAUUAGCUAGUUGGCGGGGUAANAGCCCACCAAGGCUUCGAUGGGUAGCUGGUCUGAGAGGAUGAUCAGCCACACUGGAACUGAGACACGGUCCAGACUCCUACGGGAGCAGCAGUGGGGAAUCUUGCACAAUGGGCGCAAGCCUGAUGCAGCAACGCCG